rnacentral:piRNA from 1 species
UACAUGUCGCAGGGCAUUUGCUUAAAACGU